CGACAGCCACACCAGAGCUGAGCCACAUCUGUGACCUACACCACAGCUCAUGGUAAUGCUGAGCGAGGCCAGAGGUCGCAUCCACGUCCUCCUCAUGGUUACGAGUCAGAUUCGUACCGCUGAGCUAUAAAGGGAACUCCUUUAAAACUUUCAAUAGCCUCAGUGUUGCAGAAGGUAACUUAAAAAAUCACAAUACCUUAACACCUUGAUACUUUUACUGAUCUUUACUCCUUAAUCUAAACUUCUACGAAAUAUCCUGUCACAGUCCAUUUCUUAGGAAAAUGAGGUAGAUGUGGAAAUUGUUAGAUGGGGCUUCUGGUUAAAUCCUUUUUUCUCCUUCUGUACUGAUUCCUUUCUUUCUUUCUCUCUCUUUGCUUCCUUCCUCUUUCCCUCCUUCCUUCCUUCUUUUUUUUUUUUUUUUGAGUUGUCCUGUUAUGGUGGAGCAGCAGGUCCAGAACAUAAAAGUCAGGAGAAGCACAGAUUUAGUUUUGGGAUCUUUGAACCAGUGAAACAAUGCCAGUAGUUAUUUAUCUUCAGAAUUUUUAUUAUUAAAAAUAAUUUUUUUCUUAGGCUUUUAAGUCACUGUAGCCAGAUCUGUAUUACUAGAAGCUGGAUGGGCUUGCUAAUGGAUACAAAAUUAAAAACUUUAAAAAAAUUUGUAAGAUCACUCUUCUGCGACCUUAAAAAUUUACCAAGGUUAAAAAAUUUGCCAAGGUCACUUCUUUCUAUCCCCUAAUCCGUGGCCAGGAAGACGCACUGCUAUGCAUUACAUCCUCCUCUGUAUUCCCUGGUUGGCUUUCUGUUGGGGUCAGCCAGUGGGAGACAGGGUUGGCAUUUGGAGGCAGAGAUAAGAGAGAAUUUGGGUAUGUUUGUUUCAUCUGUCUGUUUUCCUCCAGCUUCUCUGCCAGGGCCUGCUUCCCCAACUACCACUCCUGCUGUGAGGCCCCUCCCCACAGUUCCAGCUCCCCCCAGGAACUGGGCUUCAUGACCUAUUCCUUGUCCCCACAAUUUAGAUUUUCUACUGUUGCUAGACAUCUGGAGUCUCGGCAUACCUUGCCAUCCCUUUAACCUUGUCUAUAUCUUCACUAAAGUAAGUAUUCUAGAAAGUGUUGUUAUUUCAGCCAAUCUGGGCUGAACUGCCUUUUCUGAUAGGUUCCUAAUUCUGCUAUAUAAUUCUUCAGUAGUCUAGUAGUAGUGUGGUCUAGUCAAGGUCAAUCUUCUAAGUUCAUUCUUCCUUCUGUUACACCUCAGAAUAUUUCCUAUACUUGAACUGAAUAAAUGACUAAUUAAAUUUUAUAUAUCGUGAUGUUUUACCAUAAAAAACAAAACAAACAAACAAACAAAAAACCUAAGCAAAAUCCUUGUCAUCAUAGAUAUAUAUUUGUUUCCUUGGGUGAUUUAUCCUAGUGAAAAAAUAUACCAUAAAAAGAAUACAUUAUAUAUCAUCUCUCAACAUAUACCUUUUUAUGUAUAUUACUUGUAUUCCCUCCACAUCGGUAAAACCAUGACCAAUAUAAAAAGAUAAUGCAUUCUAAUUUGCAUUGCUAGUGAGAAAAUUUUUAUAAUAUGAAUUUUAAUUUCAACAAAAUGGAAAAGAAUAAUACAUGUAGAAGCUCAUUUCCUAUGUUGAAGUCUUUAUUCAAUCUAAACACAUUCUCAUUCUGACACCCUAACAAGAACAGUGUUUUUCAGUUUUAUCUACCAAAUAAAAAAUGUAAUUACUAGAAAAUAUUCUUAUUCCAAAAUUAGAAUUCUCCAUAUAUAUUCAGAAAGCAUGCCCCUUUAGUCCUCUACAUUGUCAGACAGUGAUGACACUAAAACGAAAACUUUGCUGGGAAGUGAUCUUAAAUUUUUUCAUUUGAUCAAUUCAAAAGGGAUGUAUUUCUCUUUAGUCAAUACCAAAAUGCCUAUUCUUGCCUUUUAUCUUCUUUCCUUGCUGCUUCUGUGGUAUUUAUUCCAAUGCUUUCAUGUGAUCAGUCAUUGCCCACAUAGAGUGAAAAGGCAAGAACUUCUACCAACACUGUCACACUUUCUAUAAAACUAUUUUCUGUAUUGUUUGCUCCUUUUUCUAGUGUUCAUAUAUCUGACUCUCAGAAUUCUUUAUUUUUCAAUACAUAAUAAACAGAAGGAUAAAUGGACCUACAGAUUUACAGCUUAUAUAAAAAUCUAGCCACUAAUUCUGAGUAGUCAUAAUUUAAUCCUAAACUUGGAGACAUAAACAAUUUCCGUUACUUCCUUCUUCCCCCUGGUGAAAAUAAGGAAAAUAAACAAAGUCUUUCUCUGAUGAAUACAAAAGGAUGCCCUACAUCUUAGAAGUUACAGAUGGGCGGCAGAUUAGGGCCACAGCAAACAUAAACUAGGGCUUUCAGAGGAUAAGAAAAGUCCCACGGCGGUUUCAAAAUUAAAAUGCACCGAACUACUUAGAUCUGUCAACAUUUCACUAGGAAGAGGGAUAAGUUCAAAAAGUUCUACCUCAUUUGCUAGAUUUUGCUUCUGUAAGGCAGAGAUCAGCCACCUAGCAACAGCACAAAAGAUUCCACUCUGACAUAGUUAAACUCAUGCUGGGUGAGCAGGAAGAAAAGCUAUGUAGGAUCAGGGCAGAGCUGGAUGGCCUGCAGUUCCAGUGCCACUGGGGAGCCUGGUUUGGGAAAUAGGGACAUUCAGUCUGAGGAAUGACUUUUUGUCAGCAUUCUUCAAAGCGCAGGUCUCUGAGCGCCUCUGCUGGGCUCCCUCUCCCCCAUUCAGCAGAGUGCAUCGAACACAAACACACACACAUCACGCACAGCAAAGAAAGAAAAGAUGUCAUUCCCCAUUAACGGCCACCCCCAAGAAAGCUCAGCUGUGCACACGCUAGGAAAACUGUUCAAGUAAAGGCUGCGUCGAUCAAGAAGAUACACUGUCCCCUGCAGCUAUUUGGAGGCCAGUGAAGCAGUGAGGUUUUUCAAGUCCCCGCUCCUUAUAAUAUGGACAGCUAUCUCUUGUUCUCUCUUUCAAAGCCAGUCCCUUGGCAUGAGAUCUUGCCCCAGAAAUAACCUACCACUUUUCUUCCAGGAGAAGAGAAUUAUCUACUUAACAGUCAGGUCAUACCAGAGACUUUGGAAAAUAUCUGGAUCACAAAUCCUUGUCAGCAAGGACCAGUGAACGGAAUCUGGGCCAUGUUUUUCCUUGGAGGAUGCCCUCCCUGAAUGAGUCAACGGGUCAUUCAAGAGGCACUUCCAUCAAAUCGUCCAAGCAAUGCCGUUUUUAGCUGUGCAAUUUUGCGGCUGGCAUGGAAAGACUAAGAGCAAUUGGACACUUACGUGUACAAACACAACAUGAGGUCCUCUUUCUGGGAAGGGGUCGGAGAAAGAAAAUCAGGUUAAGUUACUGACUUAUACUGCAAAGAAUGCUUUAAUGGAUAUACAGUACCUAAGCAGCUGGACUCAUCAAGCUGGAAAUCCAUGCAGUCAACCAAGCCAUCACAGCGCCGGUGAACUGGGACACAGCUAUUAGAAGAGGUACACAUCAAAGCUCCAUCAGAGCAGCUCUCGUUGGCUGAAAAAAAGAACAAUAAUUAUCACCUUUUAAAAAAUGAAUUUCUUCUAAUAAAAUAAUAAGAG